AUCCAACCAGAAGCCUCAUCGCCUCUAGCAUCACUAUUCUGGGUAGGGCAUGUGCUUGCAUUCUCUUGGGAAAAAAUCACAAAACACAGAUCGUAUGAUGUUCAAUCAGUGGUGCCACAUUUAUAAAUAAACAAUUGAAAAAAAAAUAAAAGAAACAAAAAAAGCAAAUAUGCAGAAAACCACAGAAAAAGCAAGAAAGAAAAAUGUCCAGUAAAGAAAAUGAUUCAGAAAACCAACAACUUUCAUCAAUCCAUCAAAUCCAUCAUCUAACCAAUGAAUUAUUUAUACAAGGAAUAAAUAUAUCAUUUCUCUAUAUUUUGUAAAACAAUAAAACAAAAUUGCAAUCGCUAAUCAUGGUGUGUUAGUUGGGCAGAGAACCCAAACUAUAAAUUCUCACAAAUUUCAACGAAAAGAGAAAAAAGAAAUCAAAGGGUUGGCUCGCUAAUUAAGAUCUAUAAAGUAAUUAGUAAGUAAUUAAUGAAUAAUGAUCAAGAAUCGUUGAAAUCUUGCCAGGAAAUGAGCGGACGACGCAGCGGCGGAGGCUGUAAAAUCUGGCUCUCUGCUCCUUCACCAGUCGCCCGCAUCACCGCUGGAGCGACUUCAUCGGAUCUCCCAACAGCUUCUCGCGCAAUCCGCUAUUUUCUUCCUCUUCUUCUGUUUUCAUUGCGGAGGUGCCGAGAGCGGUGGCUGUGGCUUCACUUUUAGCGGAAGAGGGAGACGGAAUCGCUUAACGGCAAAAAACAACUUUCGCCGGAGAAGAAGCUUCAUCACGCCGUCUUCAACAAAUCACCACCGCGGAAAAUGAAAACGAUGGUAGAUUUGUGAAAAUUGAAACAAUAAAAAGGAUUUCAGAGAUAUCGAAGUACAAUCGAAUUUCAGAGAAAUCGGGAAUGGAAACGAUGGUAGAAUCUGCAAAUACCGCAUCUUCAUUGUUUAAAACUCUAGAUUUUACAGAUCUAUAAACUAGAAAACUAUUUAAAUGUUCUUGGUUCUUUGUUUUAUUCGAAGCAUUAAAGAUUCUGCAAAUAUGUAAAAAUUGAACUCACCUUCUUCGAUUUUUUUACUCUGCUACGAUGACUUCGUUCUUCAAGUUUUCUUCGGUUCUUCUUCAAGCUAAAUGGAAUCGUGGUUUUGGAUUUGAUAUUUUUUUUGCAGUUUUUUGUACCCUAAUCUUGCGAGAGUAUCAAUGGAGAGUGGAUGAGUGAUUAUCGGGAUUGUGUGAUAUUCGAU
rnacentral:lncRNA from 1 species